rnacentral:rRNA from 1 species
GACGAACGCUGGCGGCGUGCCUAAUACAUGCAAGUUGAGCGCUGAAGGUUGGUACUUGUACCGACUGGAUGAGCAGCGAACGGGUGAGUAACGCGUGGGGAAUCUGCCUUUGAGCGGGGGACAACAUUUGGAAACGAAUGCUAAUACCGCAUAAAAACUUUAAACACAAGUUUUAAGUUUGAAAGAUGCAAUUGCAUCACUCAAAGAUGAUCCCGCGUUGUAUUAGCUAGUUGGUGAGGUAAAGGCUCACCAAGGCGAUGAUACAUAGCCGACCUGGGAGGGGGAUCGGCCAAAGUGGGACUGAGACACGGCCCAAACUCCUACGGGAGGCAGCAGUAGGGAAUCUUCGGCAAUGGACGAAAGUCUGACCGAGCAACGCCGCGUGAGUGAAGAAGGUUUUCGGAUCGUAAAACUCGGUUGGUAGAGAAGAACGUUGGUGAGAGUGGAAAGCUCAUCAAGUGACGGUAACUACCCAGAAAGGGACGGCUAACUACGUG